GAUGAACGCUGGCGGCGUGCCUAAUACAUGCAAGUCGAGCGAACGGACGAGAAGCUCGCUUCUCUGAUGUUAGCGGCGGACGGGUGAGUAACACGUGAAUAACCUACCUAUAAGACUGGGAUAACUUCGGGAAACCGGAGCUAAUACCGGAUAAUAUUUUGAACCGCAUGGUUCAAAAGUGAAAGACGGUCUUGCUGUCACUUAUAGAUGGAUCCGCGCUGCAUUAGCUAGUUGGUAAGGUAACGGCUUACCAAGGCAACGAUGCAUAGCCGACCUGGGAGGGUGGUCGGCCACACAGGAUCUGAGACACGGUCCAGACUCCGACGGGAGGCAGCAGUAGGGAAUCUUCCGCAAUGGGCGAAAGCCUGACGGAGCAACGCCGCGUGAGUGAUGAAGGUCUUCGGAUCGUAAAACUCUGUUAUUAGGGAAGAACAUAUGUGUAAGUAGCUGUGCACAUCGUGACGGUACCUAAACAGAAAGCCACGGCUAACUACGUG
rnacentral:rRNA from 1 species